AACGAACGCUGGCGGCAUGCCUAACACAUGCAAGUCGAACGAGACCUUCGGGUCUAGUGGCGCACGGGUGCGUACCGCGUGGGAACCUGCCCUUAGGUUCGGAAUAACUCCCCGAAAGGGGUGCUAAUACCGGAUAAUGUCUUCGGACCAAAGAUUUAUCGCCUUUGGAUGGGCCCGCGUUGGAUUAGCUAGUUGGUAGGGUAAAAGCCUACCAAGGCGACGAUCCAUAGCUGGUCUGAGAGGAUGAUCAGCCACACUGGGACUGAGACACGGCCCAGACUCCUACGGGAGGGAGCAGUGGGGAAUAUUGGACAAUGGGCGAAAGCCUGAUCAAGCAAUGCCGCGUGAGUGAGGAAGGCCUUAGGGUUGUAAAGCUCUUUUACCCGGGAUGAUAAUGACAGUACCGGGAGAAUAAGCUCCGGCUAACUACGUG
rnacentral:rRNA from 1 species